UACGUAGGGGGCAAGCGUUGUCCGGAUUUACUGGGCGUAAAGAGCGUGUAGGCGGCUAGAUAGGUCCGUUGUGAAAACUCGAGGCUCAACCUCGAGACGCCGAUGGAAACCAUCCAGCUAGAGUCCGGAAGAGGAGAGUGGAAUUCCCGGUGUAGCGGUGAAAUGCGCAGAUAUCGGGAGGAACACCAGUGGCGAAGGCGACUACCUGGCCUGUUCUUGACGCUGAGGUGCGAAAGCGUGGGUAGCAAACAGG
rnacentral:rRNA from 1 species